rnacentral:rRNA from 1 species
GACGAACGCUGGCGGCGUGCUUAACACAUGCAAGUCGAACGGAAAGGCCCUGCUUUUGUGGGGUGCUCGAGUGGCGAACGGGUGAGUAACACGUGAGUAACCUGCCCUUGACUUUGGGAUAACUUCAGGAAACUGGGGCUAAUACCGGAUAGGAGCUCCUGCUGCAUGGUGGGGGUUGGAAAGUUUCGGCGGUUGGGGAUGGACUCGCGGCUUAUCAGCUUGUUGGUGGGGUAGUGGCUUACCAAGGCUUUGACGGGUAGCCGGCCUGAGAGGGUGACCGGCCCACUGGGGCUAGGAAAGCGCCCCGAACCCCUCCGGGAGGAAGAGGGGGGGAUUUUUAGCAAGGGGGCGGAAGCCGGAUGGAGCAACGCCGGGGGGGGGAAGGGGGCCUUGGGGCGGUAACCCGCUUUCGCCUGUAACGAAGCGUAGGGAACGGAAGUGGGUAAAGAGGCCCCGCUGAACUACGU